GGCGCGAAACGAGGUUCAUCGCGCUGGAACGGGCGCGCGGAAAUGCUAGGCGCGCGCGCGGACGAGGUGCAAAUCAGCGCGGGAAGGCUGGGCGCGCGCGCGGGCAGACGAGGUUCAAACUGGGCGCGGGAGCUGCGAGGCGCGCGGGCAAACGAGGUUCGCCCGAAGGUUCCAGAAGCGCCUGGAGAGCGCUGGGCGCGCGCGGGAGGAGCGCUGGGCGCGCGCGGGCUG
rnacentral:misc_RNA from 1 species